rnacentral:rRNA from 1 species
GUGUCAGCAGCCGUGGUAAUACAGAGGGUGCGAGCGUUAAUCGGAUUUACUGGGCGUAAAGCGUGCGCAGGCGGUUGUGAAAGACCGAUGUGAAAUCCCCGAGCUUAACUUGGGAAUUGCAUUGGUGACUGCACGGCUAGAGUGUGUCAGAGGGGGGUAGAAUUCCACGUGUAGCAGUGAAAUGCGUAGAGAUGUGGAGGAAUACCGAUGGCGAAGGCAGCCCCCUGGGAUAACACUGACGCUCAUGCACGAAAGCGUGGGGAGCAAACAGGAUUAGAAACCCUCGUAGUCC